GCUGCCCCAGGGCCCCGCCCGCCCGGGCGCCUCUGCAGCUCUGGGCCAGAUGCGCGCAGCUGGCUGCUCUGGGUACCCUGGCGCGCCCGGGCACAUGGCCACCAAGUCUCCAAGGCACCGGACGUUUCUCAGGGGCAGACUCUGGGCGGGCGGGGGAGGGGGAGCAACCAGGGGCCCCCUGGCCCCCUUCCCCGCGCUGGGUCUCAUUGGGUCCGGGAGGAAAACAAGGCAGGCUUAUGGUGAAUUUCCAGUCAUUUCAGCUCUGGACCUUGGAUGAGAGAGAAGCAGCGAAAGCUUGUCGUCAAUGAGCAAGGUCCCGAGAUGACGAGGCGGUGGCCGCCAAAGGGCUUUUGGGAGCCUGGGAGAAGAGAAAGCAGAGAUGAGGCUCUUGAGGCUAAGUGACAAGGUCAAGGUCUCUGGGUAACUGUGGCAGAACUGGGUUGGGACUUGUCAUUCCACUACUGUACCCUCCACCAUACACCGUAAAGUUCUUACCUGGGAGGGAGCCUUUCCGUGGGGAAUUUGAGGUACCCUCUGCAAUUCCGGUUAGGAAAGCAUAUGGCCACGGCAUCCUUAAAAAGCCCAAGAUGGCGGAGCCAAGCGUGGCGCCGGUCCCAUGACCCAGCUUCCUUCAGGACUGAGCCACAAGAGAUUUUAGGGGCCCGAAGUGAAGGGUGCGACCCUGGGCAAGGUCACCCCUGGUGGGGCUGGAAAUAGGGCCAGAGGCCUUUUGCCUGGAGUCCCGUAUUCUUUCUCCUCUGAAACAGACUUCAGCUGCCAACAAGCCCAUGGCCACUUUGGGGAGGGAGGCACAUCCUGCCUUGGGAGCUUCGCUAUGGCCAGAUGCACCCCCAGUUCUGGGGCUGCCCCCAGCCCCUUGAGAACCUUCAAGGCCGGUUCUUGUCUAGUCCAUUUCUCAUAGGGCCCUUGCUCUGUUUUUCUGAAAUGCUCUGGGCACGUGAGGAUUCUAGAGGAUUCUAGACCUAAAUGAGAGUCUUUGCUCUGCCCGGGGUGGGGAGGGUGGAGAAAAGUAAAGAGAAGAUGUGGGCCCCUUCCAGGAGAGGGGAAGGUCCUUGAGGGCAGGCCCGCUUGACUGGCCUUGAGCAAAGUGCUUCCCACGUUGUAGAUGCUCAGUGAAUGCUGGAUCCAGAAUUCGGAGCUGGAUGUCUUAGCAAAGGCAGGAAAUUCGGUCAGGGAACCCCUGAAUUCAGCCUUGGAUGGGUCACUGGCUGCGAUCUUGGCCACGGCACUCCCAGCCACAGGCCUGCUUCCUGACCAUGCUCCAUUUCAACUAAAACUAAACUUUUGCAUUUACUUUGUAUCCAACCAUUUUUCUUCCCUUGCUACAGAGUAAAAUCCUUGGAACUGUUGGGGGGCGGGGGGGAGAGGGUUAUGUCUUUACUGCCUGAUGAAGGAAGGUGUUCAAUAAAUGCUCAAUGAUUGGUUCCUGACCCCGAGUCUUGACUUCCUCAUUUGUAAGGUUGGGGAAGAGGGAAAGGGGGCCUUGGUCUGGAAGGUACCUUCAGGGUCCUUGGGAGAAGGGAAGGAAACAAUUCAAGAACUUGCUUCUAACUUCCAUGCACAAUUUCAAAGAUUGGUAUCAGUGGCAAGUAUCCCACGUGGCAGGAAUUCUCAGCCUUGCCCACGUGGUUGACAUCUCCCCACACCGGCGUUUUCACUGGCACCGCAGCCCAGCAGAAUCGGGGCAGCUCUGACCAAGACCAAAGAGCUGAGCUAAUGUUAAGGCCCAGACCAGGGAGAAUAGAACAGAAUGUAAGCUCCCUGGAGGCAGGCCCUGGGUCAUUUUUGCCUGACACAGAGGAAGGCUGGGUCUGGGUCCUAGAUUGUACUUAAAGAGGGUCAACUCCCUCUACCAGUGCGAGCUGACACCCCAGUAACUCAGAGGCUUAAGAGAACCCUGGGACAGUCAAGAUUGGAUAGCCAGUCAGUGUUUGUCAGGGGCAGAUUCUGAACCCAGGUUCCCUUGGCCUUGAGGCUCUCUAUCCCCUAAACCAUGUCUCCACUAAACCAUGU